rnacentral:rRNA from 1 species
AGGGAAUCUUCCGCAAUGGACGAAAGUCUGACGGAGCAACGCCGCGUGAGUGAUGAAGGUCUUCGGAUUGUAAAGCUCUGUCUUCUGGGACGAUAAUGACGGUACCAGAGGAGGAAGCCACGGCUAACUACGUGCCAGCAGCCGCGGUAAUACGUAGGUGGCAAGCGUUGUCCGGAUUUACUGGGCGUAAAGGAUGUGUAGGCGGAUAUUUAAGUGAGAUGUGAAAGACCCGGGCUUAACUUGGGCAGUGCAUUUCAAACUGGAUGUCUGGAGUGCAGGAGAGGAGAACGGAAUUCCUAGUGUAGCGGUGAAAUGCGUAGAGAUUAGGAAGAACACCAGUGGCGAAGGCGGUUCUCUGGACUGUAACUGACGCUGAGGCACGAAAGCGUGGGUAGCAAAC